GUUUGUUUAUAUUUAAAUGUAUUAGCAGUUUUGUCCAAAAUAACGUAGGCUACAUUAUAUUUUAACCAAGGACCAAAUGAAACACACCAGAAAUGUAGCUCACCCCUCUCAUAGGCUCAUUUCCAGAGAAACUAAUGCAGGGGCUUUUGUUUUGGGGACAGCCCCCCCGCCCCCCAACCAAAAAAAGGGACAAGAUCCUCAAGGCCCAGGUUUUCUUUCAGCCCAUCCACAGCAAUGUCUCUCUACCUUGGGAUAGCACCUGGCGAGGCAAGCAUGGCCAAGGAUGAGAAUUGGGCAUAAGCUUUGAGCUUGAUCGCAAGAUCAGACCGAGGACACCUGGUCAGCCUCGUCCACCCUCUUCAACUGCAGAUUUCCGGAUAGAGUGUCCGAGUCGAGUAGCUCCACCACACUGUAGGGGGCGCAAUCCUCCAGGCCCAGCU